rfam:Salmo salar isolate Sally breed double haploid chromosome ssa04, whole genome shotgun sequence.
UGGCUCAGUUGGUAGAGCAUGGCGCUUGCAACGCCAGGGUUGUGGGUUUGAUUCCCAU